GACGAACGCUGGCGGCGUGCCUAAUACAUGCAAGUAGAACGCUCAAGAGAGGAGCUUGCUCUUCUUGGAUGAGUUGCGAACGGGUGAGUAACGCGUAGGUAACCUGCCUUGUAGCGGGGGAUAACUAUUGGAAACGAUAGCUAAUACCGCAUAACAUUUUAUGACACAUGUUUUUUAUUUGAAAGGGGCAAUUGCUCUCCUACAAAAUGGACCUGCGUUGUAUUAGCUAGUAGGUGAGGUAAUGGCUCACCUAGGGGACGAUACAUAGCCGACCUGAGAGGGUGAUCGGCCACACUGGGACUGAGACACGGCCCAGACUACUACGGGAGGCAGCAGUAGGGAAUCUUCGGCAAUGGGGGCAACCCUGACCGAGCAACGCCGCGGGAGUGAAGAAGGUUGUCGGAUCGUAAAGCUCUGUUGUAAGUCAAGAACGGGUGUGAGAGUGGAAAGUUCACACUGUGACGGUAGCUUACCAGAAAGGGACGGCUAACUACGUG
rnacentral:rRNA from 1 species